GAUGAACGCUAGCGGCAGGCUUAAUACAUGCAAGACGAACGGUAAGUGUUGUAGCAAUAUAGCACGAGAGUGUCGUACGGGUGCGUAACACGUAUGCAACCUACCUUGUACAGGAGGAUAGCUCGGGGAAACUCGAAUUAACCCUCCAUGAGAUCACAGUGUGGCAUCAUAUAGUGAUUAAAACCUUGGUGGUACAAGAUGGGCAUGCGUCUGAUUAGUUAGUUGGCAGUGUAAUGGACUACCAAGACAAUGAUCAGUAGGGGACCUGAGAGGGUGA
rnacentral:rRNA from 1 species